rnacentral:rRNA from 1 species
AACGAACGCUGGCGGCAUGCCUGACACAUGCAAGUCGAACGAGACCUUCGGGUCUAGUGGCGCACGGGUGCGUAACGCGUGGGAACCUGCCCUUAGGUUCGGAAUAACUCCCCGAAAGGGGUGCUAAUACCGGAUAAUGUCUUCGGACCAAAGAUUUAUCGCCUUUGGAUGGGCCCGCGUUGGAUUAGCCAGUUGGUAGGGUAAAAGCCUACCAAGGCGACGAUCCAUAGCUGGUCUGAGAGGAUGAUCAGCCACACUGGGACUGAGACACGGCCCAGACUCCUACGGGAGGCAGCAGUGGGGAAUAUUGGACAAUGGGCGAAAGCCUGAUCCAGCAAUGCCGCGUGAGUGAUGAAGGCCUUAGGGUUGUAAAGCUCUUUUACCCGGGAUGAUAAUGACAGUACCGGGAGAAUAAGCUCCGGCUAACUCCGUG